rnacentral:tRNA from 14 species
GUUAGCUCAGUUGGUAGAGCGUCAGACUGUUAAUCUGUAGGUCGGCGGUUCGUACCC